AAAAUGGGGGGGGGGGGGGGGGUUGUGCAUCUACCUGAGACACAAUAAGACAAAAUAAAAUCAUGGACGUAUUUUAGCAUGAAAUUUAUUAAGGUACCAUCUGAAACUGUAACUUGUACCGAAUGAUACUUUUCAACACAAAAUUUAAAGUUUCUGUAAUGUAGGUUUAUCAGGGAAGGUGUUUAUUACUGUUGGAUUGGGAUGGCAAUUAUUAUUUAUCUGCAAAAUAAAAUAUUCUUUACACUGAUGGACAGAGAAACAUAAAAAUUUGUAAAAUUGUUCCUUAUUAAGAAAUCAAGAGAGAGCGUGAGAAAGAACAAUUUGCAUGAAAGCAGUGAAUCAGAGGAAAAAAAGGUUAUUUUGUGAUUGGUUGUUUCAUGGUGCUUAUAUGUGCUAAGAGAGAGGAAAAAAGUCGCAUCUCCACACAGCCCCACGAAGAAAGGAUUUUGUGUGAUUGCAGUAUAUGUGCUGCAGCAUUUUCUCUGCUGUUGGCCACUCUGCUCCGAAAGAGAGUGCACGGUACAUACUCAAAUUGAUGCACAGCUGUAAAGAAAGACAUGCUGAAGCACUCAGAUUAUACUAAUGGUGGAAAAGAGAAAAAUGAUGAGCCAUUCUUCUGAACUGUUUUCAGAAUGAAAUGGACCAGAACGAUCCAGCACUGAACUACUAUCCACAGCUUUAAGUGCAACGGACCGACGCACUCCAUCCAAAUCGACCUAUUUCUAUAAUCAGCGACGUCAACACUUUGUUGCAGCCUUAGAACUGGCACAAGUUCAAUGUCAGAUAUUCCUUCUGAUGCAAUUCCAGCUCUACAUGGAGAAACACAGCUCCUGGUGUUCACACGCAGUCUCACUACCGAGUUCUGACCAAGUGGUAAACUUGGAUGGCCUCAGAGGAAGCCCAAACGGAAGAAGAAAAAGUUGCAGUUCUUUGACUGGCCACUUGAGGCUGGCUCAAAAACAGGGCACAUUCCCAUAGGAGCCCAGAUUAAAAUAUCCCAUCUUAGAGCAGACAUGAACAUGUGUAAAGCCUGACACAAAAAUGGUUUUGGUUGCUAUAGUUUCCUCCGCUAAGACUACUAUACGGGCGGUAAAUUUUAUGUAAGACAUUUAAGCCAUGAAGUUCUGUAAAAUUGGGGACAUGGCUGUUUUGAGUGGCAGUGGCUGAGUCCAGCGUCUCACUCUCUCGUAGCAUCCAACCGUAACUUAUGCUGGGAAGGGCCGCUAGCUGUUAUGGAGGGCUGCGUCUGUUUUGUCUGGAGUAUUUUAUUAUAAACACUUGGAACAAGAUGGCUUGUGUGUUGAAACAUCUUAAGAGAUCAUCUAAGACGCCCCUGCUGCAAUAUUCCCACUGAGUGAAAUUCUCCUGGUAUUUAAUGUUGUACAAAAACAGCGUUAGCACUUUUAGCAGCUAUCAGUAGCCUGAUCCGUUAGGCCCUGUUAAUGUAUAAUUACUGAGAAAAUAAGUGGCUCAUAACUUUUAAUGUCCACACCAAAACAAAUUGUUAUGAGAACCACUGCGCAGUCCCCAAAAAGUAUGAUUUAAUAAACACCUAAAAAGAGGUUAGCCUGCUAGCUCAGCUGGUUCAGACUUGAAGGUAGGUGCAUGUUCAGGCUUCUUUCAUCACAUACUGAGCCACCUACACUCCACCCCUUUAUGCUUUAAUGAGUUCAUCAUGAAUCAGUGUGGCCGCUGCUGCCAACAUGGCAACGCCCAGACACGAGCUUCAUAUUGGCUGUGCUGAGUCUCUAUAGAAAACCUAAUGUCAUACAGGCUUUGUCCAGUAUAUAUACAGUUUAUGGUUCUGACAGGAUGACGUGGGCUUACAGCAGCACAACAAAACCCAAACAUACUGUAUUAUCCAGACUGUAUCUUUGAAGUGUAUCAGUCUAACCAGAGCUUCCAGCAUAAAACAGAAAUUGUUCUGUUGAGCAUAAUGCUAAAAAUCUAUGUGUAUGAUGACCUAUAAGGAUUUGGAUUACAUAACACACACAGCCGUGUCUAACACCAACAGUACUUUUCAGCAA